ACUCUUCUAGUAUAUUAAUUAUAAUAGACUUCCAAUCUUUAGAAUCUGGUUAAACCCAGAGAAGAGUA
ensembl:Mt_tRNA